GAUCAACUCGUGAAUAUGUUUGAAUAUGUAGGGAUGGCCGCGGUGGUCAAACUCCUCGACCUCCCUUGUGCUGGGAGUGGGUGCCACGUUGUGUGCUUCCCUCCCGGCCCAACCCAAACCCCGGCGCUUAAUGUGCCAAGGAACUAAAAUUGGUUAAGUGCGCCCCUGCGGGCACUGGAGACGGUGAUCUCGCAGGAGGUGUGACGCAUGAUAUAAAAACGACUCUCGUGAAUUGCAGAAUCCCGUGAACCAUCGAGUUUUUGAACGCAAGUUGCGCCCGAAGCCAUUAGGUUGAGGGCACGUCUGCCUGGGCGUCACAUAUCGUUGCCCUAUGCCCAAUGCCCAUUGAUAGGCACUGUGCAGGGCGAAUGUUGGCUUCCCGUGAGCAUUGUUGUCUCACGGUUGGUUGAAAACUGAGUCCUUGGUAGGGUGUGUGCCAUGAUAGAUGGUGGUUGUGUGACCCACGAGACCGAUCAUGUGCGGCUCUACCGUCUCUGGACCCUUUGACCCACUUGCGUCCUUGAACGCUCUUGAA
rnacentral:rRNA from 1 species